rnacentral:rRNA from 1 species
CCUACGGGAGGCAGCAGUGGGGAAUAUUGGUCAAUGGACGAGAGUCUGAACCAGCCAAGUAGCGUGAAGGAUGACUGCCCUAUGGGUUGUAAACUUCUUUUAUAUGGGAAUAAAAUGUUCCACGUGUGGGAUUUUGUAUGUACCAUAUGAAUAAGGAUCGGCUAACUCCGUGCCAGCAGCCGCGGUAAUACGGAGGAUCCGAGCGUUAUCCGGAUUUAUUGGGUUUAAAGGGAGCGUAGGUGGAUUGUUAAGUCAGUUGUGAAAGUUUGCGGCUCAACCGUAAAAUUGCAGUUGAAACUGGCAGUCUUGAGUACAGUAGAGGUGGGCGGAAUGCGUGGUGUAGCGGUGAAAUGCUUAGAUAUCACGAAGAACUCCGAUUGCGAAGGCAGUUCACUGGACUGCAACUGACACUGAGGCUCGAAAGUGUGGGUAUCAAACAGGAUUAGAUACCCUUGUAGUC